UUUAGGCGAGACUAGAGCAAGACCUUACGCACCUCACAACCAACUAAAUAUCAAUCUCCUUUCCUCUCUAAGUCCCUUAUUAGUCCCCAAAAAUCCCUUCCUUGUAUAAGAAAAAAUAAACCUUAUAUCAGAAAAUUAUCCUUAUAAUAUUUUGAAGAAAUUUGAGUGAAUAUCAAUGUUUGAAGUAUUAUUCAAGAAAUCAUGUGAGAAAGAUGAGUUUAUAGAAAUUUGUAAGAGAAUGGAGGCCAAACUAGAAUUAAAUUGGAGCUAAAGGACCAUGCUUAAAUGUCUAAGGAGGUGCAGCUGGAGUGCUUGGAUCGUCUACCAUGAUUGGAAGCUUCAAAUAAGGAAAGAAAUCAAAGAAGCAGAAUCUGAAAAGGAAAAAUCUGAUUUGAGCACUGAUCAGUAUUUUGGGCGUAUCUCUCUCCUCAAAAAUCCAAUUGACACAAGGCCAGAUGGGUUGGAACCGUGAUUUAAAUAUCUACAACUUUCCAGUUUUGAGUUUUUCGAAAUUCUCAAUUUUUAAUGGCCAAAAUUAACUCAUAAGUUACUGCUGUAAACCUGGACGGAAAUUAAAAUAGUAAAUGUUUUAUUUUCUUUGGACACUUAGACAUUAGGGUUUUGAAGGGAGGCUGUGGAGAACGAAUUUUGGAGAGAAAACCUUGUAUUUUCCUUUCUCUAAUGGCAGCCUAAACUCUUUGCUAGGGCUAGGGGUUAUAUUUCUUCUAUACAGUAUGGAUAUUCAAUGUGAUUCUUUCUAGGAUUUUAUUAAUAACAUAUUUGAUUGUUCAAUUAGAUUUCUUUUGAUGUAUUAGUUCUUCCAUGCUUUCAAUAAGUUCAAUCAUGUUUUUCUUAUUGUUU